UUUUGGUUUUUCUCCCCAGAAUUCUGCUCUUUAGGAGGCCUGGAGGUGGCCCUGUCCCUGCUGGGUCACCGCUGGCCCCCUCUCCGUGCCGGGGCCGCGCGGCUCCUGGGCUGCUGUGCCCAGAACCUUCCGGAAGCUCAGGGCCGGGCGCUGGCCCUGGGGGCUCUGCCCGCGCUCCUGGGGCUGCUCCGCGCUGACCCCGAGCCCCGCGUGGCCCCAAACGCGCUCUUCGCACUCUCAUGCCUGGUGAGGGCCCAGCCCCAGGGGCUGCAGGAGCUCGAGGCCCUGGGGGGGCUGGAGGUGCUGGGGGGGGCCCUGCAGAGCCCCCCACCCCCCCCUGAGGGCCCGCGCCGCCUUCCUGCUGCACUGCCUGCUCAAGGAGCACCCCCGCCUCAAAGUUCCCCUGGUGCAGCAGGGCCUGGUCCCGCGGGCGGCGGCGCUGCUGCGCUCCGAGCACGACGGGGCCCACGAGCACGGCCUGGGCACCCUCUGCAGGUACUGAGACCCCUCCCCA